CGGGGGGCAGCAGUCGAGAAUUUUUCUCAAUGGGCGAAAGCCUGAAGGAGCGACGCCGCGUGGAGGAUGAAGGUCUUCGGAUUGUAAACUCCUGUCAUGAGGGAGCAAAGCACAUCGUUAACUGCGAAUGUGUGUGAUAGUACCUCAAGAGGAAGGGACGGCUAACUCUGUGCCAGCAGCCGCGGUAAUACAGAGGUCCCGAGCGUUGUUCGGAUUCAUUGGGCGUAAAGGGUGCGUAGGCGGUUAGGUAAGUCAGAUGUGAAAUUCCAGGGCUCAACCUUGGAACUGCAUUUGAUACUGCUUGACUAGAGUACUGGAGAGGAGACUGGAAUUCACGGUGUAGCAGUGAAAUGCGUAGAUAUCGUGAGGAAGGCCAGUGGCGAAGGCGAGUCUCUGGACAGUUACUGACGCUGAGGUACGAAGGCUAGGGGAGCAAACGGGAUUAGAUACCCCGGU
rnacentral:rRNA from 1 species